GGGGGUGUGGUUCAGUGGUAGAGUUCUUGCCUUGCAAGCACACAAGGCCCUCGGUUUGAUCCCCAGCACCACCA
rnacentral:tRNA from 1 species